GACGAACGCUGGCGGCGUGCUUAACACAUGCAAGUCGAACGGAAAGGUCUCUUCGGAGAUACUCGAGUGGCGAACGGGUGAGUAACACGUGGGCAAUCUGCCCUGCACUUCGGGAUAAGCCUGGGAAACUGGGUCUAAUACCGGAUAUGACCUCGAGGCGCAUGCCUUGUGGUGGAAAGCUUUUGCGGUGUGGGAUGGGCCCGCGGCCUAUCAGCUUGUUGGUGGGGUGAUGGCCUACCAAGGCGACGACGGGUAGCCGGCCUGAGAGGGUGUCCGGCCACACUGGGACUGAGAUACGGCCCAGACUCCUACGGGAGGCAGCAGUGGGGAAUAUUGCACAAUGGGCGCAAGCCUGAUGCAGCGACGCCGCGUGGGGGAUGACGGCCUUCGGGUUGUAAACCUCUUUCACCAUCGACGAAGGUCCGGGGUUUCUCGGAUUGACGGUAGGUGGAGAAGAAGCACCGGCCAACUACG
rnacentral:rRNA from 1 species